UCAUCAGGUAGGAUAACCCUUCCCUGUUCCUCUAUUCAGAGGGCAGAUAGAACAUGAUGAUUGGAGUUCAUGUGAUGAUUAACAUCUCUGCGUGAUUAGGGCUGGCGAUACCCUGAUGGCUCCUAUCUGAU